rnacentral:lncRNA from 1 species
UCCGACUACGCAUACGCAGCAGGCGGGACCCUCUCAGGGUCAAGCAGCGUGGGACUACUUGUGAGUGGACUUUGUUUUCGAAUCUAUGCAUGGUUUUAUUGAUGAAAGAUUUAUGCAUAAUGUUUUUAAUGAUUUAUUGAAUAUAUUAUAUUCAUGAGUUGAACUUGAUGUUUUUAUAGCGCUUUGGUAAAAUAUGUGGCUUUGGCAUAGUUGGGUAUUGAAAGUAUAUUUUAUAUGGAUUUUGGGAAAUAUUAUGCAUGAUGUUUUAAAUGGUAUUUUGGAUAUAUUAUUUAUGAAAUUGUUGAAAGUGAUACUUUUAUGAGGCAUUGAAAAUAUAUUUUGGGUUUUGACGUAUUUGAGUAUCUUGAGUAUGAAUAUAUGGAUUUUGGGGAUUUCUAUAUAUAUAUAUAUAUAUUUGGCUAUGUGUGAGGUACUUGGGUUGUUGAGAUGAAAUUGUGGAAAGUGGUGAGUAUAGAAUGUCAGUUUGGUGUGCUGUAAGCACAACCCUAUGUACCUCCCCGGAUGUGGAACUUGGAUACGGAGACUUGAGAUACUUGGAAUUGUCGGGACCCGGGGCAUCCUUGAUGGGAUGUUGCUGUAGACCCUUAAUUGGGUAGUCUGCGCGCGUAGGACUGUUCACAGACGUACGGGUUUUGAGGUUACCGACGGUACGUUCUGGCUGAGAGUUGGUCCCCCAGUUGGACGGCUCGUUCCCUAGUCACAUGGUGGAUUGAGGACUCAUCACGAGGACUCUGCCAGGGUGACUAGUCAAACAAUCCCCCGGUUGGAUUGUUUCCCCGGUACAACUAGGUGAUGGUUAUAUUUAUAUUAUAUAUAUAUAUAUCUCUUAUAUUAUAUAUUUAUAUCUAUUCAUUCAUUCUUGUUUCUCGGUGUGGAUACUUCCUUGCCGGUCGUGCCAAUGGGUACGCUUUCGAGAGUUUGGUUGUGGGAUUUAUAAGUUUUGGAUGGUGGGUUUUGUAAAGCGUUCGUUUUGGAUUUCAGACUUGGCAUCUGGUAUCGAUUUGUUUUGAUAUAUAUAUUAUAUAUAUAUACAUAUAUACGUGAGUAUGACGGUUUUGAGAUGCAUGGGAUUUCUUGCAUGGUUUUCUAAACGGUGGGGUUAUAUUACGUUGGUUUACACUGAACUGAAUUUAUUUUUGUCCACUCACAAUUUUCUGUUUUGCGCCCCCCCAGCCAGUAGUUGACUGAGCUCCGCAGUAGAGCCGGAUCGUGCGCUUCCGAGCCUUGAGUCAUCGUAGGACUCUUUCUUCAUGUUAUUUCCUUUGUACUCUGUUUUGUUGAAAUUGAAGUUCUUAGACAUGCUCUGUUAUCGCCCCCGUUAGGGUUUGAAUUGUGAGGCCGGAG